rnacentral:rRNA from 1 species
GACGAACGCUGGCGGCGUGCUUAACACAUGCGAGUCGAACGGAAAGGCCCUGCUUUUGUGGGGUGCUCGAGUGGCGAACGGGUGAGUAACACGUGAGUAACCUGCCCUUGACUUUGGGAUAACUUCAGGAAACUGGGGCUAAUACCGGAUAGGAGCUCCUGCUGCAUGGUGGGGGUUGGAAAGUUUCGGCGGUUGGGGAUGGACUCGCGGCUUAUCAGCUUGUUGGUGGGGUAGUGGCUUACCAAGGCUUUGACGGGUAGCCGGCCUGAGAGCGUGACCGGCCACAUUGGGACUGAGAUACGGCCCAGACUCCUACGGGAGGCAGCAGUGGGGAAUAUUGCACAAUGGGCGGAAGCCUGAUGCAGCAACGCCGCGUGCGGGAUGACGGCCUUCGGGUUGUAAACCGCUUUCGCCUGUGACGAAGCGUGAGUGACGGUAAUGGGUAAAGAAGCACCGGCUAACUACGUG